GCUGGGCAUGGUGGCUCAUGCCUGUCAUCCCAGCAACUCCAGAGGCUGAGGCAGGAGGAUCGCAAGUUCAAAGUCAACCUCCCCAAUAUGGCAAGGCCUUGAACAACUUAGUGAGAAUCUGUCUUAA
rnacentral:sRNA from 1 species